rnacentral:tRNA from 1 species
UCGCUGAUAGCUCAGCUGGUAAAGAGUCUGCCUGCGAUGCAGGAGAUCCUGGUUCGAUUCCUGGGUCAGGAA